GCCCCUGUAGCGCAACGGAUAGCGCAUCAGCCUCCGAAGCUGGUGGUACAGGUUCGAUUCCUGUCAGGGGCA
rnacentral:tRNA from 1 species